CCAGACUCCUACGGGAGGCAGCAGUGGGGAAUAUUGCACAAUGGGGGAAACCCUGAUGCAGCGAUGCCGCGUGGAGGAAGAAGGUUUUCGGAUUGUAAACUCCUUUUAUCAGGGACGAUAAUGACGGUACCUGAAGAAAAAGCUCCGGCUAACUACGUGCCAGCAGCCGCGGUAAUACGUAGGGAGCAAGCGUUAUCCGGAUUUACUGGGUGUAAAGGGCGUGUAGGCGGGCAUGCAAGCCAGAAGUGAAAUCUGGGGGCUUAACCCCCAAACUGCUUUUGGAACUGCGUGUCUUGAGUGAUGGAGAGGCAGGCGGAAUUCCCAGUGUAGCGGUGAAAUGCGUAGAUAUUGGGAGGAACACCAGUGGCGAAGGCGGCCUGCUGGACAUUAACUGACGCUGAGGCGCGAAAGCGUGGGGAGCAAACAGGAUUAGAUACCCCUGUAG
rnacentral:rRNA from 1 species